UCAUGCAGAACCACAGAAGUAGAAUGGAAGUCUCCUUUAAAAUUAUGAAUUACGAGCUAAUCCCUGAUUGUUUUGGUUCUUUGUCCCUUGUUGCUUAUAUAGUGUGGAAUUCAUGUUGAAUAAUUUUUUUUCAACUAUACUAAAUGUAGAGAUUAAAUUAGUUAAUUUGAAUCAUAAUCCUUAUGUUGUCUACCUCUUUGAUUGUUAAGAUGCUUCACAUUUUCUUAUAUGUUCUUAUUGCAAAUUUAUCAGAUUGAAAAUGAAUACGGAAAUAUUGAAGGGAAGUUUGGGCAGAAAGAAAAGGACUAUGUUAAGUGGGCAGCAAAGAUGGCUUUAAGCCUUGGUGCUGGGGUUCCAUGGGUGAUGUGCAGGAAAACUGAUGCUCCGGAUGAAGUUGUAAGAUAGAUGCAUGCAAUGGAUACUACUGUGACGGUUAUAGGCCAAAUUCCUAUAACAAACCCACGCUUUGGACUGAAAAUUGGGAUGGAUGAAUUAUGGUGCAUUCUUGGAGAAAGACGGAGCAGGGUUUAGAGGGCAAGUUAAACUUACUAGAUUUCAAAAUGGGGAUAUAGACCUCUCAAAGUCUUUAUGGACCUACCAGGUUGGGCUCAAGAGAGAAUUCUUGAAGAUAUAUGCUGCAGAAGAAAAUGAAAAGGCAGGGUGGACUGAUUUAACUCCAGAUGCUGAUCCAUCGAUAUUAACAAUUUGAUGGCACCGCCUCCACCACCUCCAACAGAUCAAGCUUCAGAUGCAAAUUUAAGAGAGUCGCCAUCUAUUUCAGUUCGGGAGUCACAAGAUGAUUCUUAGUUUAUUUACAUUAAUUUACUAAGGAAUGAACUUUCUGAAGUUUUUUUUAUUUUGGUAGGGGUAACCUUAAAAUGAUAACUUUAUGACUUAUUUUAGUAUUGAACAUUAUAAAGAAUUUUAGCAUUAAACAUUUUAUUA